AGGACGAACGCUGGCGGCGUGGAUUAGGCAUGCAAGUCGCACGAGAAACAUUCCUUCGGGAAUGCAGACAGUGGCGAACUGGUGAGUAACACGUGAGCAACCUGCCCUUGACAUUGGAAUAACAGUUGGAAACAGCUGCUAAUACCGGGUAUGACCUUUCAUCGCAUGGUGGGGGUGGAAAGCCUUGGCGGUCAAGGAUGGGCUCGCAGCCUAUCAGCUAGUUGGUGAGGUAAUGGCUCACCAAGGCUUCGACGGGUA
rnacentral:rRNA from 1 species